UACGGGGGGAGCAAGCGUUGUUCGGAUUUACUGGGCGUAAAGGGCGCGUAGGCGGCCACCGCAAGUCGACUGUGAAAUCUCCGGGCUUAACCCGGAAAGGUCAGCCGAUACUGCGGGGCUAGAGUGCAGAAGGGGCAACUGGAAUUCUCGGUGUAGCGGUGAAAUGCGUAGAUAUCGAGAGGAACACCAGUGGCGAAGGCGGCUACCUGGCACAUAACUGACGCUGAUACGCGAAAGCGUGGGGAGCGAACCGG
rnacentral:rRNA from 1 species